UAGUGCACCUCACUCAUCUCAUCCUGCCUAGUAUCUGUCUGGCAACAUUCUUGAGACCCUCCCCAAGCUGGGCUCCAGAAUAAGCACGUCUCCCUCACAUCUCCCUCGACAAGUACCUCCAAAUGUGCUCCUGAGGAAACACAUUUUCUACCAGCUCUCUCAGGAAAUGUGCAAGAUGGAAAAAAGUGUUGAAAACCUUCGCUGUAAAUUCCGUCUGGGUACCCAAUGAUUUCAUGGGGGAGACCAGGGUUUUUCAAACUGAGGGAUCCUGACCCAAGAAGGAGUUGCAGUGAGGGCUCAAGCUCAGACAGCCUCACAGAUAGGGUGGCAAUACCAUACCAUGCCAUCAUUUCUACAGAGCU